GGAAUUUAGCUCAGCGGUAGAGCGCUUGCCUAGCAGGCGAGAGGCCCUGGGUUCAGUCCCCAGCUCCG
rnacentral:tRNA from 1 species